GCAGGGGUCACGUUCUGCACACGCAAGGUCACCCACACAGCUCCCCCACUGAGUGUGUGGAAAGUUUGAAAACCAGUACAGUUUGAAUCACAGCACUAUGUACAACUACACGCAGCAGCACAGGUACAUGGCAGAAUACAAAACAGUGAAUAUUUGUAUGAAAUAAGUGCCUCACUUCUGCCUGUAAGCAAAGAUCAACUGCCAGUAUUAUAUACUGUGUUACUGUGAGCUUGAACAUACUAUAGUAGGGAGGCAUGUUAAGUUUUCUGGAUGAUGAAUACUGGACAGAGUGGAUCGAGUCAUGCUGAAUGGAUCUUGCAGUACGUCUGUAAAACAGUACUCUAUGUACCGCUUUCCCGACUUAAUUUCCACCAAUGAUGUUGGUACAUGUGAAGAA